rnacentral:rRNA from 1 species
CAGCGGAGGGAUCAUUACCGAGUUUACAACUCCCAAACCCAAUGUGAACGUUACCAAACUGUUGCCUCGGCGGGAUCUCUGCCCCGGGUGCGUCGCAGCCCCGGACCAAGGCGCCCGCCGGAGGACCAACCUAAAACUCUUAUUGUAUACCCCCUCGCGGGUUUUUUUAUAAUCUGAGCCUUCUCGGCGCCUCUCGUAGGCGUUUCGAAAAUGAAUCAAAACUUUCAACAACGGAUCUCUUGGUUCUGGCAUCGAUGAAGAACGCAGCGAAAUGCGAUAAGUAAUGUGAAUUGCAGAAUUCAGUGAAUCAUCGAAUCUUUGAACGCACAUUGCGCCCGCCAGUAUUCUGGCGGGCAUGCCUGUCCGAGCGUCAUUUCAACCCUCGAACCCCUCCGGGGGGUCGGCGUUGGGGAUCGGCCCUCCCUUAGCGGGUGGCCGUCUCCGAAAUACAGUGGCGGUCUCGCCGCAGCCUCUCCUGCGCAGUAGUUUGCACACUCGCAUCGGGAGCGCGGCGCGUCCACAGCCGUUAAACACCCAACUUCUGAAAUGUUGACCUCGGAUCAGGUAGGAAUACCCGCUGAACUUAAGCAUAUCAAUAAGCGGAGGA